rnacentral:rRNA from 1 species
GUGGGGAAUAUUGGGCAAUGGAGGAAACUCUUACCCAGCAAUGCCGCGUGAGUGAUGAAGGUCUUAUGGAUUGUAAAGCUCUUUGAUUGGGGACGAAUAAAUGACGGUACCCAAAGAACAAGCCCCGGCUAACUAUGUGCCAGCAGCCGCGGUAAUACAUAGGGGGCGAGCGUUGUCCGGAAUGACUGGGCGUAAAGGGUGUGUAGGCGGUUUAUCAAGUUAGAAGUGUAAUACCUAGGGAUUAACUCAGGUGCUGCUUCUAAAACUGAUAGACUUGAGUGUGGGAGAGGAUGAUGGAAUUCCUAGUGUAGCGGUGGAAUGCAUAGAUAUUAGGAGGAACACCAGAGGCGAAGGCGAUCGUCUGGACCAUAACUGACGCUGAGGCACGAAAGCGUGGGGAGCAAACAGGAUUAGAAACCCUGGUAGUCC